CUUUCAUCAUCACAUGGCCCUCUACCUUGCAGAACCAGUUAAUGAAUUAACCCUCAGUUCGUGCUGUUUUGCCUACAUCUCACGGAAGGUCCCACUCCGGUUUGUGAAAGGUUAUGAUAGGACCAGUGACCAGUGCCCCACCCCAGGGGUCAUCUUCCUUACCCAACAGGGCCGACAGAUCUGCGCCAACCCCAGUGUUGCCUGGGUGCAGAAGUACAUCAGACACCUAGACCACGUGUCUAAGUGAUCUGGGAGCACUGGGGCCCGUAUGGCCGAGGGACUUUGAGGAGACGCCACGGAGCCCCCUUCCCUUCCCAACUCUCUCAGCCCCAGAAGGUCCCUGGGAGUUGUCCUGGCCCAAACUGAAACUCUUUCUUGCUUUUCUGUGCUCCCAUUCUCUGAUGAAUCCUGCUCUUUCCUGAAGCUUCGCUUUGACACUGCCCUCUGGGACCUGAGGACACUGUGGCCCCCAGACAGCAUCUGUCUCCCCUUUGCAGGCAGCCAGUUGUUGAAAUAAAGCCAUGCCCCAGAAAGGAAACUGGGUGGUUUGAACUGGUUCUCUCACA